UGGGGAAUAUUGCACAAUGGGCGCAAGCCUGAUGCAGCCAUGCCGCGUGUAUGAAGAAGGCCUUCGGGUUGUAAAGUACUUUCAGUCGGGAGGAAGGUGGUAAGGUUAAUAACCUUAUCAAUUGACGUUACCGACAGAAGAAGCACCGGCUAACUCCGUGCCAGCAGCCGCGGUAAUACGGAGGGUGCAAGCGUUAAUCGGAAUUACUGGGCGUAAAGCGCACGCAGGCGGUUGAUUGAGUCAGAUGUGAAAUCCCCGGGCUUAACCCGGGAAUUGCAUCUGAUACUGGGCAGCUAGAGUCUUGUAGAGGGGGGUAGAAUUCCAUGUGUAGCGGUGAAAUGCGUAGAGAUGUGGAGGAAUACCGGUGGCGAAGGCGGCCCCCUGGACAAAGACUGACGCUCAGGUGCGAAAGCGUGGUGAGCAAACAGG
rnacentral:rRNA from 1 species